rnacentral:rRNA from 1 species
GGUUCAGGACGAACGCUGGCGGCAUGCCUAACACAUGCAAGUCGAACGGAGUAAUGACUCGGUUAUUACUAGUGGCGAACGGGUGAGUAACACGUGAAUAAUCUGCCCUGUACGAUGGGAUAACAGCUGGAAACGGCUGCUAAUACCGUAUAUGACCACGCCGAGGCAUCUCGGAGGGGUGAAAGCGCUUAAGCGGUACAGGAUGAGUUCGCGUCCAAUUAGCUAGUUGGUGAGGUAACGGCCCACCAAGGCGACGAUUGGUAGCCGACCUGAGAGGGUGAUCGGCCACACUGGAACUGAGACACGGUCCAGACUCCUACGGGAGGCAGCAGUGGGGAAUAUUGGGCAAUGGAGGAAACUCUUUAACCCCCAGCAAUGCCGCGUGAGUGAUGAAGGUCUUCGGAUUGUAAAGCUCUUUGAUUGGGGACGAAUAAAUGACGGUACCCAAGGAACAAGCCCCGGCUAACUAUGUGCCAGCCGCUGC